rnacentral:rRNA from 1 species
UACAGAGGUCCCAAGCGUUGUUCGGAUUCACUGGGCGUAAAGGGUGCGUAGGUGGUCGGGUGAGUCUGAUGUGAAAUCUCCGAGCUUAACUCGGAAACUGCAUCGGAUACUAUCCGGCUUGAGGAAUGGAGGGGAGAUUGGAAUUCUCGGUGUAGCAGUGAAAUGCGUAGAUAUCGAGAGGAACACCAGUGGCGAAGGCGGCCAGCUGGGCCGUCCCUGACGCUGAGGCGCGAAGGCGUGGGGAGCGAACGGG